AGAUGACCGUUCCUCUUGCUGCCAUGAGCCAUAGGCAGUGGGAUUUUGUGUCAUCACAGAUUAAACUUGGCCUUUCUUCACUCAGGGUGCUCUUGGAUGUGUUUGGCUGUCCGUUAGCACCUUCUGAAUUUUGCAGGGUCAUAUACUC
ensembl:snoRNA